CCAUGAUCCCACUACCAUCUAUGGUCAUCUACUACAUGAGAUACCCACAUCAGUAGUGGCUUGAGAAAGAUGCAUGUUUGGGACCCAGCAACUGUUUUAUUCCAUGGAAGAACAGAUUGGAAGGCUUUGAGCCUUCAACUGGUCUAGAUGGAUAUCUGACAGCAUCCCCCAGGACAGAAAAGAAAGCAACGGUGAUAUUAAGCAGGACUGGGUUUUAGAAGCACUUACUCUUCUUCUGGAGGUUCUGUGGCACGUGGAUGAAGCCAUGCUGGAACAGGCACACCUCAGAGUGACUGUGGCUGUGGAGUCAGAAAAGUAUGGAUCCCAAUUAAAUUUUUGCUUCAAGGAAGGAAGGAAGGAAGAAUUUAUGCCACUGGAGCAUGAAACAGAUUUUGACUAGAAAGAAGAUAGACAAGAUUUACAAACAAACCCAAGUGAUUUGCACACCAAAGUCUCAUUAGAAGUCAACAAGACUCUGAUUUCCAAGCUACUUGUGAAAAUUUUCUCUGAUGAUUCCUACAAGUCUUUUAAUAUUUAUCCUAAACAAGUGCUGACGCAUCAUUCAAAAGCAGAUCCGGGGCUGCAACAAGUUCUGGUAACCCCUCAAGACAUUUCUAAAGCCUCACCCACAAGAGAUUUGAAACUUCUGGCACGUCCAUAUGUCUGAAAUCUUCAUUCUGCAUCAUGCAUUUGUCUAUUUAGGAUAAUUAAGGGUAUGCCUCUGUGAACACAUUACUGCGAGGUAACCAGCGCCUGGAUUUACAGCAGAGCAGAUGCUCUCCUGUAGCUGUCCAUGUGUAUGCCCUUACCCUGUGGUAAACACAAGGCAGCUCAGUGCACGGUCAUUGAAGAAGAGCGUGCAACACAUGCUCAUCAUUCACACUCGAUUUUCCAGUGGCCUCACAGUAACUUGCUCAGGUAGCCACACCGUCAGAUUUGUUCUACAAGCCCAGCCACUAUCACAGACUGCCCAAGAGUAAACACAGGCAGAACAUCUUUCACCAAGCCACUUUUUAGCCUUUUCGCUGCCACCUCAAACCCACCCUUCCAGGAUUUUGUGUUCAGUUCUUAUCUCUGCUUAGACUGUACCAGGCUGGGUGCCUCAUGAAGAAAUGGAUGUUGGCACUGGUGAGCUAGGAAGUUAGCUGGGAAGUUAGCUAGAAGGAUACAUGCCCUAGGCUCCCAGAGAGGCUGUGUUUAAACAUUGUACUCAUAAAAUACCUAAACAGAAAAAAAAAAAGAUAUGACGUUGCAGAGACUGCAAAACUAAACAGCAUCCUUGUCAGAAAAGCAGUGUAAGAUGUUCAGGAGCUGCUACUUAGUUUGCCCCACUAACAAAGGUUUUUUUCCUGGAACAGUUUCAGAUUUUGGGACUCCAGAGUUCGGUCCCAGUGGAUGUAAGAAUCAAGAGAGCUAUAAAAAUGUUAAAUAUCAACUUCUUAAUGACACUGUCAUUCAGCUUCUACUUUCAGAUCUGAGAUUGCAAAGAGAAACAAUCUCACCUCACUAGGGCGUAACUACAACAUGCUGCUACAGCUCAGGUCUCCCCAUUUUUUUCCACCUUUCUGUGGUUAGAGGGUCCCAUGAGAUUAUUGUAUCUGUGGUCCUAAUGGAGCAUCCUGGAGAUGUCUUGGUGAUCACUGGAGCACAGCUCACCAGCAAGAACUUUUGUCUCCAACCUCUUGGUUCAGAUUCCAGAUCGGAAAUUCAUCUUAAUGUCUCGGGAAAUUACACCUUCUGAUAUAGUUGAGAGGUGUUUCUUCUUUGCACAUGGAUAUUGUUCAUAGCUAUUACACAGACCAGGCUACUCCAGUGAACAUUUCUAAAUCCACCCUGAUCAUCAGUUGGAAGUUAAAGAAAUCCAUCCAUUCCAUAUUUUCAUCUUGCUGAUGAAAAUCUGCAUACUGCAUACUGGUUUUAUGUAGUAAGCAAAAUUAAGAUAAAAAAAAAAAGGCUCUCUUUUUUUUAAAAAAAAUGCUUUUAAUUCAGUCUCAAUAAUUUAACCAGUAAAUAACCUGUGAUAUUUCUGGUAAAAAGGUAAGACUUCUGAACCUAGUAUAUAAAAACCAUGAUGCAAUAGCUCUGCACUUCUCUCCUGGAAAGCAAGUUUUUUUUUCUGUUCUAGUUUCUUAUGCUGAAGUAUAUGGUUUAUGCAACAGUGGGAUUUGGAAUAUCUUUAUCUAUGCGAAGUCCACAUGACAUUUUGUGCCAUACUCUUGCUAUUGGAGUAUGCACAUUCCGUGUCCUUUCAGGAUGCCUAAAAGGAGUUGUUUUCUUCACCACCAAGCCAGCUUUCUCUUUGCACCUUCAUGCAAUGGGAUGAUUCCCCUUCUGCCUGUGAGCUGAAGAUCAUGGCUCUACUUCCAGCAUGGAAACAAUACUGGGAGCGUGAUUGCAUGGGAUGAAUCACACAAUGCUGGAGAGAGUGGUGGUCCUCCAAUCUCUCCUUCCUUUCCUUUGCUGCCCUGCUGCUGGUCUCACCCUGCUGAACAGUACAAUAGACCUGUGAAAUAAGCCCACAAAAAAAAGCAAGACCAACACUUUAAACCAAUUCAUUUCCCAGAUCUGCCUUAGAGCUCCACCACAGCUAAAGCGGUCCUGGCAGGGAGCGGGGACGAAUGGCUGCAGGCAGCAGCAGGAGCCGCUUCAGCCAGCUCUGCAAUUGAAGUAUUCAUAAUGUGGAGUCGCAUCUUGUGUCUCCUCAAACGCUGACUAUGGCUUGCCAAAGAACAUUCAUGUUUAACUCGAUUUAGAAAGGUAAUAAAGAAGAAGCCAGCAGCUUGCGAAUUGAUAGACUUUGCUGUAGAUAACAGGCACGGCUAAUUCUGGUUUUAAAUAACAAUAAGAACAGCAGACCCACUGGCAACAGCCAAAGCAUUGCUUCAAAUUAUGUAUUUUCCGACUUUUCUUUUGCUACUGGAGGGCCCAACUCUGCAAACUAUUUUUAGUAGCGUUACUUGUCAGUGCCCAGCCAUGAAUCAGGGUCCUGCUGUGCUAUUCAAACACUUAACUAAAGGCUGGUUUCUGCCCAAAGACUUUGAAAUCCAACUUACAAAAAUCCCAUAGGUUUAAAUGGCAGGAAGAACUACAUUAGCAGUGCUUUCUUUUAUUGUCUUAUAUUAUUUAUUUUACUAAAUAUUAUUUACUUCAUUUGCAACAAUCAGAGCAGAAUAAUGAAAAAAAUGUUUUCAAGCAAAGGACUGGAACAACUCUGCAGUACUGCUAGUGAAAUAACAAACCACUUCAAAGAAAGAAACUAUAAGCAUUAAACAGCCCAAAAUGACUUCUGCAGAGCCACAGCAGUAUUGUAUGCAAAUAUAUAAUUUAGCUGUUUUUAUAUAACCUGGCUAUUUUGUAAUCACAGAAGUAGGGAUUAGACAAGUGGGGCAUAUGCCAUUUGUAAAGAAACUACAUAGGAAAAAUAUGCACUGCAGUUACAGUCCUGAUAUUUAAAUGUAGAUACUCAAUAUGUCAGCUAACAGCAAAUUACUUAGUUUCAUUAAUGAUACUGAUUUGGAGAGUGUAGGAGACACAGAAAUGUCUAUAUAUGUACGUGAUCUUUUAAAAU